rnacentral:rRNA from 1 species
CAGCCGCCGCGGUAAAACGAAGGGUGCAAGCGUUAAUCGGAAUUACUGGGCGUAAAGCGUGCGUAGGCGGUGAGUUAAGUCUGCUGUGAAAUCCCCGGGCUCAACCUGGGAAUGGCAAUGGAUACUGGCAAGCUAGAGUGUGUCAGAGGAUGGUGGAAUUCCCGGUGUAGCGGUGAAAUGCGUAGAGAUCGGGAGGAACAUCAGUGGCGAAGGCGGCCAUCUGGGACAACACUGACGCUGAGGCACGAAAGCGUGGGGAGCAAACAGGAUUAGAUACCCCCGUAGUCCCUGUCUCUUAUAC